rnacentral:rRNA from 1 species
CCUACGGGGGGCUGCAGUGGGGAAUUUUGGACAAUGGGCGCAAGCCUGAUCCAGCAAUGCCGCGUGCAGGAUGAAGGCCUUCGGGUUGUAAACUGCUUUUGUACAGAACGAAACGGCUCUUUCUAAUACAAGGAGCUAAUGACGGUACUGUAAGAAUAAGCACCGGCUAACUACGUGCCAGCAGCCGCGGUAAUACGUAGGGUGCGAGCGUUAAUCGGAAUUACUGGGCGUAAAGCGUGCGCAGGCGGUUAUGUAAGACAGAUGUGAAAUCCCCG